rnacentral:lncRNA from 10 species
UCUAGAUCUUCAUUCAGUGGGAGAAACAUGGUAGAGUGUAUAUAUAACAUCUUACCUCAACCAGAAUCUGUAAAUAUCAGUUUUUGAUUAAAAAAAAUUUUUUUUGAGUUGGGGUCUCAUCUGUUGCACAGGCUGGAAAGCAGUGACACAAUCACAGCUCAUUGCAAUCUGAAACUCCUGGGCUCAUGCAAUCCUCUUGCCUCAACCUCCCAAGUAGCUGGGACUACCAGCGUGCACCACAAGGCUCAGAUAUGUCACCCACCCAAAAGGAAAGAGUCUCUACCUGGCCAGUUCCCCUACCGGCUACACCAGCUGUACCACAUCUGGUCCUCAACCUCAUGGAUGCACCUCUCUGCCAACCCACAGAUUAUUGAAACAAGCCAACUGCAUCCUCCUGCAGGGACCAGGGGCACCUCAACCUCUUGUUGCCACAAAGCCUGCCAUCCACAGCCUUGGCUGGUUUUCUCUGCCCCCCAGCACAACCCUGCAUGGCCCUGCACGGCGUGUGAUGCCCUCCUCCCCCAGGGUGUUAGUAGACGUGACUGAUGAGCUGCUGCCAAGGUCAUCUGUCCAGUGUUGGGCAUCGUGUGUUCAGCCAUCUCAUAUGCUUUAGGAUGGGACAUCCCUCCCUAACCAGUGGGAUAAAUAAGAGACCUUGGACUUCAUGCAAGCAGUUUAGUCCUGAGACGGCAACAAGGCGCAGAAUGAACACAGAGCAUGCUGCUCUCCUGGGUGACUCCAGUAAGUAAACACUGUGUUCCUCAACAGGCCAGGCAUGGUCUUGCCUCGGGGUCUUUGUGCAGCUAUGCCUUUUGCCUGGAGCACCUUUUACUCUCUUAUAAGCUUGGCUUGCUCCCUCCUUUCCUUCGGGUCUGUGUUUGGCUGUCACAUCCUCAGAGUGGCCUUCCCCAAACACCUUUAACAAAGGAACCCCCCAGCUACUCUACUUAGCUUUCCCCCACAGAGCUCAUGGUCACCAGAUAGAUUGUGUGUCAUUCCUGAUCUCUGUUCUUCCACACAUCCUCAAGAACAGGAAAUUCAUUUUUUCACUGCUGUAUUCCCAGCACUUGCUACAUAACGGAAGCUCAGCAAACAUAGUCUGAAGAAAGGAUGAGGCCACGGUGUCUGAGCCAAAGCCCCCUGUUUUCAGAGACUAGGAAUGGGGGCUUAAAAACAAUCCUCCAGGGAAGUGGCAUUUGGAGCAAAGAGAAGGACAUGGGACUGAGAUUUGAGAGAUGUGAGUGCGGCUCCUGCUCUUUCCCUGGGCCAAGAAUUGGGUGAAUUGUUGUUAUCCUCUAUGAUGGUUAAGGUUAAGUGUCAACUUGAUUGGAUUGAAGGAUGCAAAGUAUUGUUCCUGAGUGCGUCUGUGAAGGUGUUGCCAAAGGAGAUUAACAUUUGAGUUAGUAAACUAGGAGAGGCAGAUCCACCCUCAGUCUGGGUGGGCACCAUUGAAUCAGCUGCCAGCUCGGCUAGAAUAAAACCAGGCAGAGGAACGUGGAAGGACUAGACUGGCUGAGCCUUCUGGCCCCAUUUUUCUCCUGGGCUGUAUGCUUCCUGCCCUUGAACAUCAGACUCCAAAUUCUUCAGCUUUGGGACUCUUGCAUCUUCGACCACAGACUGAAGGCUGCACUGUUGGCUUCCCAACUUUUGAGGUUUUGGGACUCGGACUGGCUUCCUGGCUCCUCAGCUUGCAGAUGGCCUACUGUGGGAUCUCACCUUGUUAUCGUGUGAAUCAACACUCCUUAAUAAACUCCCCUUUAUAUAUACAUCUAUCCUAUUAGUUCUGUCCCUCUAGAGAACCCUGACUCAUACAGAUUUUGGUAGCAGGAGUAAUUCUAGAGGAACAGAGUAUUAAGGAUGGAGUUCUUUUGUUGAUUUGGGGGUUUCUGGAGUUGGCUGCUUAAUAUGAUUAGACUCAAAAAUGCUAAGGGCUCUACUUCUAAUAGCAUGGAGAACACCGAUAGUUCUUGCAAAAUAAAUGCAUUUGAUACUCCUGAUUCACUGCUCAUGAGAGGCAGGAGCUUAAUGACUCUAUACCUGAUAUCUUUGACCCUACGUGGAGAACCAAGGAAUAUAAUGAAGUUGGUUGGUUGCUCCUAAGUUCACUGGACAAAGUGAUGAAAGAAAAAGAGCCUCAUUUUCUUUAUCUGAAAACAGAAACAAGGUCGACCAGCAUGUGGCUGAGCCAAUGAACCCAGGCAAGAUGUGAAGAGACCUGCCCCUCCGGGAGCUGACGAACAUCGCCUUGUGCCUGCCUCCUCCUUGACAGCCCCUGAUUUAAUGCAGAGAUGGAGGCAGGGGAGCAUCUGAGUCUGUUCGGGUAGCAGCAAGACUCCUUCCCGCCCACACCAACCCCAGCUAGCCUCAGAGAAGGCUACACAGCCUUGCAGAGGAGAAGGGGCUGUGAAAUCUGCUGGAUUCAUUCCUUUCAAAGCACUUUACCAAUGUGCACACACAGGCCCUCCAUUCUCUCAGGAAGAUCAAAAAGCAGCCCAGAUAAGCUGAGAUGGAUGAGUCUCUCUAGAACAGUGCACGAUACCUAGGGUGAUCAAUAAAGUGUUUGUAGAAUAAGCAAGUGAAUUAAUAAAUAUGUGAAUGAAUGAAACCAUUUUUUUGAAAAUGACUUCCGUUGAGUUCCACAGAGCAGAAUUUGAAAACUCAGUGAUUUGUCAGUUGUUGCCAACCCAUCUCCGUGGUUCAAAAUAAGCACUAAUUCUCACACGCGCAGAUUCACAGGUGACUCAUGGCUCUGCGACCCGGGCUCUGCGACAUGGGCUCUGCUGGAUAGGGUGCAGGCUGUGGAUUGGGCUCAGAUCUGCUCCACACGUGUGCGCACUGGACCGAGUAUCAAGGGACAGUAGCUCCUGUUAUAAAGAGAGCACACGCUCAUCACAGCAGAUCCCCAGGAGCAAGAGUGAGCCAAGCUGCACAUUUAAUCCCUUUGCUCUCAUCACUUCUGCUGACUUCCAAAUGGUCAAAGCAAGUCACACAGCCAAACAUCAGCAGGGUGGGAAGUGUUCUCCACCUGCAGUGUGAAGGGGAGAGAGUGAAUAUUUGCUUAAUGAUAAUCUAAACUGUCACAAAAACCCUGGCCCUAGAGAGUGGCUCGACCAGCUUUAAUGUUGUGAUGGGUCACAAUCUAAGAGGCUCUGAGAUUGCUAUUGUUUAAAAUUAAUUAAUAAAUGAAAAUAAAUGCCAGAAUCUGACAUGCCCUGAGGGAUGAGUCACAGUGACAGCUAGUGCAGGCGCACCCCACAGCCAUCUGCCAG